rnacentral:rRNA from 1 species
CGAUGAAGGACGUGCUAAUCUGCGAUAAGCGUCGGUAAGGUGAUAUGAACCGUUAUAACCGGCGAUUUCCGAAUGGGGAAACCCAGUGUGUUUCGACACACUAUCAUUAACUGAAUCCAUAGGUUAAUGAGGCGAACCGGGGGAACUGAAACAUCUAAGUACCCCGAGGAAAAGAAAUCAACCGAGAUUCCCCCAGUAGCGGCGAGCGAACGGGGAGCAGCCCAGAGCCUGAAUCAGUAUGUGUGUUAGUGGAAGCGUCUGGAAAGGCGCGCGAUACAGGGUGACAGCCCCGUACACAAAAAUGCACAUGCUGUGAGCUCGAUGAGUAGGGCGGGACACGUGGUAUCCUGUCUGAAUAUGGGGGGACCAUCCUCCAAGGCUAAAUACUCCUGACUGACCGAUAGUGAACCAGUACCGUGAGGGAAAGGCGAAAAGAACCCCGGCGAGGGGAGUGAAAAAGAACCUGAAACCGUGUACGUACAAGCAGUGGGAGCACGCUUAGGCGUGUGACUGCGUACCUUUUGUAUAAUGGGUCAGCGACUUAUAUUCUGUAGCAAGGUUAACCGAAUAGGGGAGCCGAAGGGAAACCGAGUCUUAACUGGGCGUUAAGUUGCAGGGUAUAGACCCGAAACCCGGUGAUCUAGCCAUGGGCAGGUUGAAGGUUGGGUAACACUAACUGGAGGACCGAACCGACUAAUGUUGAAAAAUUAGCGGAUGACUUGUGGCUGGGGGUGAAAGGCCAAUCAAACCGGGAGAUAGCUGGUUCUCCCCGAAAGCUAUUUAGGUAGCGCCUCGUGAAUUCAUCUCCGGGGGUAGAGCACUGUUUCGGCAAGGGGGUCAUCCCGACUUACCAACCCGAUGCAAACUGCGAAUACCGGAGAAUGUUAUCACGGGAGACACACGGCGGGUGCUAACGUCCGUCGUGAAGAGGGAAACAACCCAGACCGCCAGCUAAGGUCCCAAAGUCAUGGUUAAGUGGGAAACGAUGUGGGAAGGCCCAGACAGCCAGGAUGUUGGCUUAGAAGCAGCCAUCAUUUAAAGAAAGCGUAAUAGCUCACUGGUCGAGUCGGCCUGCGCGGAAGAUGUAACGGGGCUAAACCAUGCACCGAAGCUGCGGCAGCGACGCUGAUGCGUUGUUGGGUAGGGGAGCGUUCUGUAAGCCUGCGAAGGUGUGCUGUGAGGCAUGCUGGAGGUAUCAGAAGUGCGAAUGCUGACAUAAGUAACGAUAAAGCGGGUGAAAAGCCCGCUCGCCGGAAGACCAAGGGUUCCUGUCCAACGUUAAUCGGGGCAGGGUGAGUCGACCCCUA